AUGACUAUCUCCCUUUAAUGCACUACAAAAAUUAGUUAAAUAAAUCAUUUUAGUUCUUCAUUUCUACUACUAAACAAGAUAUUUUCAUGUGUGCACAGUUUUGGAAUAUAAUGAAAAAAUCAUUAUACAAUUUUAUGGUUAAUUUCGUUAGAAUAUUUAUAUAGAUGAAAGGAAGCAAAGCCAAAAGAAUCAGAGAAAAAGAUGUGAAAAUUAAAGUAUAUAUACAAUAAUAAUUAAUGUAAAAAAAAUGUUUCCAAUACCUUGUGCAAAGAAAUAUCCUCACCCACUGCUGAGAACUUCACUUGGCUAUCAAUUACAGAUAUAUAAAGCCUGUUACCUUAAAAAAAAUUAGGCCAGCCAGCUGAAGCAUACUUAUAAACCAACAUUGGAGAUAGUACUCCAUUUAUAAACAAAAUUACAACUUUACAAGCUCAAAACCAAGUCAACUCAGCAAAACCAUUACCGAUUACAUCCAUCCAACUCAGCUCCUCCACUCCCAUCAAUGCAUCCAACAUUCCCUUCAUAUUUACAAAAGGUAAGUGGUUCUAUAUAUCCCACUCAAGAAUGCAUAAGUUUCUUCAAUCUCAAGUAUCUAGAGUUUUCUUCUAUGUUUAUAGAAAUUUCAGAAGAAUCUCCCUAUAAUUCUUCAAGUACAUGACAUAGAUAUAUGAGUGUUUAUGUGCUAUGCCAAAACAACACAUAGUAUGUACCCAGAGACCAUGAGGAGCAGCUACUAAGAAACCCAUUUUUACAUCGGAAAAAAACUUCAUGUACUAACCAAUGAGUAGUUGUUAAAAGCCAAUGAAUAAUUUUAUAAGAAAUCAACAAUAAUGUUGAAAAAAAAACCAAACAAAAAUAAUAAAGCCAAUGAAUAGAUUAAGGCUCUUUAAGGUCUAAUAAACUAAUCAAACUAAGUUGUGGGUAAAGGCGAAUAUGUUUGUUUGGUCAAUAAUAAGCUCAACAAAUCACUAAUAAUCACCUAAUCACUUUUCCUUAUGCUAUGCAAUGUAAUGGCCUGGGUAAUGGCUGCAAGGCAGGCAAUAACUAGCUAGCCAGUUAUGAUAGUGGAUUAACUUAACCUACUGGAAAUCUGAAGACCAAAACGAAGAAGCUUUGACGAGAACUAGAAUAGGAACGUUCAUACCCAAAACUAAUAUAUAUGAUUAAGAAACUUGAUUAAAUGUAUAAUUUUGUUUGCCGCAAUUUAAGAGAACUUUCAAAAGAUGCUAAGGUACACCAAAUCCCACUAUUCCAUACUCGUAAACACAAAAAACCAUGGCAAAAAUUAAUUACUAUAUCAAAUAAAAUAGGUCGUAGGACAUUGAGAUUAGGAAAACAUGAUUUGUAUACUGUAAAAUAACUAUAUCUGCAUAGUCAACUAUAUUUCUGUUAGAACUCUAAAGUUUUCCAUUAAAUUUUUUUUCCCUCUUAAGUAAACCACUUAACUGAAAUGCUUAAGCCAAUAUUGACAAUCAUAGACAUACAAGUAUUAUUAAGCUCGUUCAAGUGAAAUGAGCAUUAUUUUACAUAUCCUUUAGGUUUUUAAGUCAUUUAGAAGUCAUUCAUGUUAAAAAAUUUCUUCAUAUACUUUCAAUAUAAUUAGUACCUGCACAAUUAAUUAAUUAAAUAAAUCUGUUUCAGCUGGCACAGGAACUUAAUUGAUCAGAGCUAGUAGUCAUAGCUAGGACUUGAACGGGGCACCUUUCAAAGUUCAAGAGGAGCAUCUGAACAGAAUGAAAGCAUAUAACUUAUCAGACAAUAUAACAAGCACUUGGUGAGUAUACAAGAUAAACUAAAACAAGUUAUCUAGAAAAUGAAACUAAAACCCAAGCUCCGCUAUUCAUUGUAGAAGCUUUAAACAUAAAAUUAAAGUAAUUCUAAUUGCAAAACAUUAGAAUGGAUGUUGAAAUUAAAGCUAAAUUCAAUAGUAAUUCAAAUGAAUCCAUUUGAACUUUGUUAAUUCCGCAGAACAAAAUUAAUUUGAGUGAGCAAACUCACCAAUGGAACAAGAACACUGGGGCUUCAACUUGUAGGAAUAAAAAAAGGAAAAAUAUUGCUGGCGGGACAAAAAUUGACAAUGACGGCUAAAAUACGAAUUAUAAAAAAAAACCAAAAUCUAUAAUUACAAGCUAAGAGAAGAAACUCAUAAUCACAAGCUUACCUCAAAAGAUGAAGGGAGAAUACGAUGAAGAAGAAGAUGGCCGGUGUUUUACGCCGUUCGCCGGCAACCAGUUAGGUUUACGAUGGUGGCUAGUCCAGCGAAUAGUUUUGUAACUGGAAAUAAAUUUAAAAUUCUAAAAUAGUAGGAUACCGAACGGCUCUUUACCGUCACGUGGUUAGUAACAUAUGCGACAGCAGUGUGGCUGUCACAUAAAGGGUAACAAAAGCAACUCGG
rnacentral:lncRNA from 1 species